GCACAACGUGGGAUAGCUAAGUUGGUAGAGCAUGAGAGACUUAAUCUCAGUGUUGUGGGUUCAAGCCCCAUGUCGGGCA
rnacentral:tRNA from 1 species